GAGCCGUCUCCGGCCUCCGCGCUCCGCGGCUAGGCAGGCAUUGGCGCGACGGGCGCAAGCGCAAUCAAUGCCACCGGCUCCCCUCCUGUUCUCUUCCCGUCGCCCGCAUCCGCAGUCCCAGUCCCAGUACCCGCUGCUUUAUUCCCCUGCGCCAUACAUACUGCCGUUUGACCUCGAGCUCCUGGCUGCGCCCCUGCUGGCCCGUGCUCUCUACCCCUUUUCCCUUCCCCGCCAUUAACCUGACGCGCACCAGGCGCAGGCCGCCGCAGACUCGCCGUCGAGAGGACGAGGGAAAAAGUCAUUCCCUUGCCUGCUUCUGCUCGCCCGAAAAGGCUCCCGUUCUGCAGGCCCGCCCCGCCCCGAUUCAAUGCAGCCAUUGCCUUGUUGAGCUCGUCUCGUCCCGCUGCUUUCCCUCUCGUCGUGCUCCUCCCCACGCGGCCACGCCACGCCUCGCUGUAAACCGACCCUGUUGAGGCUUGGACGCACCCGCGUGUCCGCGCCUGCCUCCCAUCCCACGCCCCCUCCCCUCCACUCCACUCCACUCCCGCGCCGUCACCGGCCGGGGGGAAAGCUCCAACCGAGGGGUUUUUGUUUGUACGCGCCCGUUUGGCCCUUGCUGUGGUCACAUCGCCCGCUCCCCCGCUGCAGCAGCGCCAAAGAUAUGAGAGGAAAGUUUGGGAUCAGUUCCCCGGUGCCCCGCCCCCUCAUGUGCCCGCGCCAGUGACCUCGAAAAGGACCGCGCGCCGCGCCUUGCCCCGUGCCCAGCCGACUCUCUCUCUCUCUUCUCGUCCCGAUUCUGAUCUGGUUGCCGGCACCAGCGAGGUCCAGUCUCGGCGCCGCCGGCGAAUGCAGGGUCUGGAGGCGCCCGCCCGCUAAUCUCGACUUGGAGCUCGAGUUGCCAGGCUUGCAUUUUGUGCCGCCGUCGUCUGAUGUGAUGUAACUGAAGGGCAGCAGGGGCAGCCACAAGCCAGCCAGCCAGCCGCGGGUUUUCCGGAUUCUCUCCUGCUGCUGACGCGACUUCAGUUUCUUCCUAGGAGGGGGAGGAGCGUGUGAAACUCAGGUUGGGCGAGGAUGGAGAGCCGGGGGCGGCGGCCGCGGAGCCCCGAGCGCCGGAGGCCGGCGGCGCGGAAGGUGCCGGUGGUGUACUACCUCACCCGGAGCCGCCACCUCGAGCACCCGCACUUCGUCGAGGUGCCGCUGGCCUCGCCGGAGGGGCUCUAUCUCAGAGAUGUGAUUAAUCACCUGAACAUGGUGCGCGGCAAGGGCAUGGCCGCGAUGUACUCGUGGUCCUGCAAGAGGAGCUACAAGAACGGGUUCGUGUGGCACGACCUUUCGGAGGACGACCUCGUCCUCCCGGCAACCGACGGCGAGUACGUGCUCAAGGGCUCCGAGCUCGUGGACCAAUCCCCUUCGGGUCCAUUUUACCCUGUCACUGUCAGCAACGGCAACCAGAAGCAACAGAGCAGGCCGAAAGAGGGCGCGCGGCAGCCACUGCCAAGAGACCAAUCCGACCCAUCCUCCCCGCCUAGCGUGACAGUCAGAGAAGCCAAGGCCCGGCGGUCACCGUCCGUGCCUUCGCAAGACGAGGAGGAUGACACCCCGUCUCCGUGCAGGGAUCGCUCCAUGUCACAGCCACAGGAGCUGGAGCCCCAGCGGAACGAGAGGAGGACGCAACCGCCAGCGAGCGGGUCUGCGAGCCCAGUGGAGCUCAGAGCUCACAGGCCCACCACCGGCUGCACGGACGCCGCAACCCAGACCGACGAUCUCGGCAGAAGGCCGGCGGGCCGCAGGGCGCUCGAGCUGCCGCGCAAGAAGAGUCUGAGCACGGACCACGACGCCGUCGUCCGUGAGAUCGCAGAGUACCGGCAGAGCCACCCUCGCCGGUCGGCAGACCUCCACGGGAUCUCCCGGGAGCUCCUGCGCCAGUGCAUCACUACUCCGCUGACCGUACCCUCGACCUGCGCCAAGUCCGAGAGCCUAGAGUCGCUGAUACGCGCGGACAACGUGAUGACGGACAGCUUCAGGAUCCUCGAAGAGGAGGACGUCGUCGCGCGCACCUGCCCCAAGCUGAGGCCGGCGAGCGUGCUGAUGCAGCUCGUCACCUGUGGCUCGCUCUCGGUGAAGGGUCACGGGGACGCUGGGGUCGUUCGGACGUGCAAGCCGAGGUUCCCCAACCUCAGGUUCCUCCCCUCGCCGCUGAUCUCGCGCACCAUGAUGAUGGGCGAGCUCGACUACCUGUCGGAAAACCCCAGGUUGAUGGGGAUGAAGCUGGAGGAGAAGGAGUACUUCAGCGGGAGCCUUGUUGAGACCAAGAAGACGCAAAGAGAUGGUCCGGCUGAGAGGUAUUCGGCGCUUAAACGGUCUUCUUCCUACAAUGCAGAAAGGGCCGGCGAGGCUCUGGACUGCACAAGACGCGAAGAGGAUAAAGCCGACGACGUGUCGUCGCGCACGAGGUGCCUCCCGCGGACGCCGAUCCUGUCAUCCUUCCUGCACCCGAAGGGCGACUCGCUCAGGUCUCCCGUCUCGGACUGCCGGCGGAGCUCCUCGGCCCGGCGGGACUACGACGCGGCCUCCGGGGACGGGAGCAGGAGGUUCGCCGACGCCUCCGUCGCGUCCGCGACCACAGGGGCCGAGUCGUUCAGGAAGGAGGAGAAACUCGUCAAGAUCGAGGAAAGUUAAGUGCCGCCCGUGGCCUUUCUUUACCUGAACCUACUGUGAACUCUUUGUCAGUGCUCGGCUGUCGUCCGGAGCCCGUGUCGUGAUCCACUACACCGUCCCUUGCAACGACAGCGACGAAGGCUCUGAACGCUCGGAGGAGUGACACUGCUGUUCAGCUAGACGACCCAUUUUUUCUUCCCGUUUUUUUUUUCACUUUCUCCCUUAGAAACAUUAGGCCCCCUUAUCAUUGUAUAAGUGCCUGUUAUAAUGUAUCAUUCAUGUGUUUCACUUAAAAAGAUGUCUCAUGAGACUGCAUGGUAGAGUGUGUAAAAUAGAGGACAAGAAACGGUUUGUAGAAACAAGUUUGAAAUAUGGGAUGAAAUAGAAGAUCUGGCCAUAUGUGCAGCC